rfam:TPA: Bos taurus chromosome 10, whole genome shotgun sequence.
UCCCUGGUGGUCCAGUGGUUAGGACUCUAUUCUCUCAUUGCUGAGGGCCCAGGUUUGAUCCCUGGUUGGGGAA